GGAAUCUUGGGCAAUGGGCGAAAGCCUGACCCAGCCACGCCGCGUGCAGGAAGACACCCCUACGGGGCGUAAACUGCUUUUACAAGGGAAGAAGGCCCUCUUCUUGAGGGUUUGACGGUACCUUGCGAAUAAGCCCCGGCUAACUCCGUGCCAGCAGCCGCGGUAAUACGGAGGGUGCAAGCGGUGUCCGGAAUCACUGGGUGUAAAGGGUGUGUAGGCGGGGCGGUAAGUCAGAGGUGAAAGCCCACGGCUCAACCGUGGAAUUGCCUUUGAUACUGCCGUUCUUGAGUCCCGGAGAGGUCGUCGGAAUUCGUGGUGUAGCGGUGAAAUGCGUAGAUAUCACGAGGAACACCAGAGGCGUAGGCGGAUGACUGGACGGGUACUGACGCUGAGGCACGAAAGCGUGGGGAGCAAAC
rnacentral:rRNA from 1 species